rnacentral:rRNA from 1 species
AACGAACGCUGGCGGUAUGCUUUACACAUGCAAGUCGAACGAAUUGUUGGUAGCUUGCUAUCAACAGUUAGUGGCAAACGGGUGAGUAAUGCGUGGGAAUCUGCCCUAGUAGUACGGAAUAGCCGUUUGGAAAACGACGAUUAAUACCGUAUAUCUUCCGAGGAAGAAAGACUUGUACGCUAUAGGAUGAGCCCACGUUAGAUUAGUUUGUUGGUAGGUAACGGCCUACCAAGACUGCCGAUCUAUAGCUGGUUUGAGAGGAUGAUCAGCCACACUGGAACUGAGAUACGGUCCAGACUUCUACGGAAGGCAGCAGUGAGGAAUAUUGGACAAUGGGCAAAGCCUGGAUCCAGCAAUACCGCGUGAGUGAUG